AUACCAUGUUAAAUUCGGAGAGAAUAUUGGAUAAAUUACGCAUUAAUUCAUUUUAAUCUAGGCUUAGAAUAAGUGAUUGAGUUGCUUUAUGCAUCAAAAUGACUAGUUAAUCUGAUAUUGCAACCCACUAUAUAUCGUCCUUUCAUUUUAUGUUUUCUCAAUGUGGGAUUCCUAGCACUUCUCAUACGCAUCCCCAUUGUAGGAGCUAAGGCAGGUUUCUAUAAAAUUCUUAUCGCAUAAUUUCCUGUAGCACAUCCUUGUUCUAGAGUGGCCUGCUGUCCUUUGGUUUGCCCGGGCUUCUACUACCUUUCUAGCAUAUGUGGCAACCCACACGAUACUUGUAUCUGUUUUUGCUUUAUGGGCAUAUUCCAUUUGUCUUUUGAUUAUCACGUGCUUUUCUUCUAUAAUGUUCCACGAGCUAGCCCUUAGCUGGUCAAGUUGUUUUCUCCUUGUCCAACAAUUAAUAUCUGCAUCUAAAAUGUCCCACUUAGUUUGAGUGGCUGUCACAUCUCUUGGUAUGUUUAUAUGAGUCCCUUGUUGACGUUCAGCCCACUCUUGAGGAACCUAUUAGACUGCUAUUUUGUCCAGUUUAAAAGUUAACCAAAUGUGAUUCUCUUUUAAAAUCAUGUGUUUGAAAACUCUAAAAUUGCUUUACUUUUCUCACUCCCGCCACAGAAACUAUGAUUUCCUCACACACUAUGGAAACCAUUUUUAUCAUUUUCCAUGCUCUCAUUUAAAUCUACUUAAUGAAGAUUUUUUUCUCUUAUCAAGCAUUCCUUGGAUAAGCUUUCCCUCAUCCAAUCCUAGUUAGGGGGUGAUGUAUCCGUUAACCUUCCUGUGCGGACAUCACCUUUUAGGGUCCUAUUAACAAUAAUCCCCUCAUUGCUAGUAUUCUACCCCAUGGCAUUUGUUCUAUAUAUGCAUAACUUUAUUUUUUCAAGAUGCCUAGUUAUGGGUUGCGCUCUUUCUCUCUGUUUAAUCUUGGUGAGGACUUGCUACGGUUGCAAUGCCCCUUCACAACACCCUGAUUUUCAGGCAGUUCCUUUUUAUUUUUGUGAUGAAGAAGAUUACAAGAUUAUGCAACAUUUUUUUAUAACUCAUAUCUUUGAACAAGAGUAUGCAUUUAAGAUAAGGAUUUAAAAUGUUUUUCCUUUCUGUUUCCUUUUGUUGCCUACUUAUGUUUAUUUGUUAUGAAGCUUUUCCUUGAUUGUAUUUUUUGUUGUUUGUCAUGUGAUAAAAAGUGAGUGCUUUUUUGGUUUCUAAAAUUAGUUUAUGAUUUACCUCAAAUUUAGUUUUAUCAGUAUGAGCUAAAUUGAAUGGCCAUUCACUGUUGAACGUUCCUUUUCUUUUUCUGUUUCCCCAUCUUUUCUUCUCUUUUCCCUUCAAUUUUUGUUGAGAAUAAUGAAGAAAUUUUCUCUCUGGUUUUUCUUGCUUUAUGUAUCACCACUAGGCAAGCUAUAGCAAUCAGUUUAACUCCCCUUGAUAUGACUAAAUGUGAUUGGAUACCUUUUGCACCAGUGAACUCUUAUCUUUUGCAUCAGUGAACUCUAUCCAAAGCAAUAUCCUUUAUCAAAUUGCAGGCAACAAUUUUCUGUUUUUUGUUUUUCUCCUCAUUUUGGAUUAAUUAAACCAUCAUUUUUAACUUAAAUUUGAAUGCGAAAGCUCUACAAGCAUGUAGUAGUAUCAGCAUUUUUUUUCCCUUGUAUGCAGAAUCAGAUGACGUUGAAGACUCUUCUGUUCCCCGAGAAAAGAUUCUGGGCUGCGUCUUGUCUUGCAUCUGUGUGGCACGUGUAAAUGAUAUUCUUGAACAGAAAAAGAACUUGACGGAUAUGUUGUUAGUGUCCCUCUCCCCUGGUUUUCAGUGGACAGUAAAAAUGUCAGCAUUUUCAUUAAUUAAAGAGCUUUGCUCGAGGCUCAGCAUUUCCAAUGGCUCUGAGGAAAUCUCUCUACAUGGUAGCAUAACUUCUUUAGUUCAGGAGUUGUUUCACUCUUUAACACCUAAAAUAGUGGAGUGCAUAAGCACUGUAAAGAUUGCCCAGGUUCACAUCACUGCUUCAGAGUGCCUUCUGGGUAUCACCAAGCUGUGCAGACAACUCGCAUCAGUGAACUGGACAAAUGUGGGGUUUAAAGAAGAGCUGCUUCAUCUAUGUGAGGUGGAAAAAAAUGAGGAGGCAAAGUCAUAUUUGAAAAGAUGCAUUGAAAUCUUUGAAAACCUGGAUUAAAAAUCUUUGGCAAAGUCAUAGUAUCGCUGAUACCAAAGGGAAAAGCCUUCCCCCUUACUAAGCUCAGAUUGAACCCAAGAAUCCUCACUCUCCAUCCACCGGGUCUACAAUCCACAAUGGUCCCAGGUUCACUUUAUUGCAAAAAGUUCGCUAAUAAGCGAUUUUCUGUAUCACUGAUUCAUAGGAUUUUUAAGUAGAAUCUAAUUUGGCUUACAUUUUUUAGCCUAAAUCCAUGUCAAAUGCCAACUGACCAUACAAAUUUUUAUCUCUAGCCCCACAUUUCAUAUAUAUAUAUGCCUAUAAUGUCUGAACUUACUAGUAAAUU
rnacentral:misc_RNA from 1 species